GGUUACCUACGGGACGCAGCAGUGGGGAAUAUUGGGCAAUGGGCGCAAGCCUGACCCAGCGACGCCGCGUGAGGGAAGACGGUCUUCGGAUUGUGAACCUCUUUCAGCAGGGAAGACAAAAGGACGGUACCUGCAGAAGAAGCCACGGCUAACUACGUGCCAGCAGCCGCGGUAAUACGUAGGUGGCAAGCGUUAUCCGGAAUUACUGGGUGUAAAGGGUGUGUAGGCGGGUUUGCAAGUCAGAUGUGAAAAUUAUGGGCUCAACCCAUAACCUGCGUCUGAAACUACAGAUAUUGAGAGGGGGG
rnacentral:rRNA from 1 species